AUGUGGUUUCCGCUUUCGAGAUUCGUUUACGGACAUUCGUUCUUUCCGCCUUCCAGGGCCGUUGCGCUGCACUGGAACACUUUCACACUGGGCGACCGAACUCAGCAGUCAGCGCACAGCGCCGCCGACGCCCCCUCGGCUCUUGUACGUAACCCGCAAUGGCGAGGCCCUCACGCCAAACCCUGGCCCCGCCGUCCGCGACCUCCCGCCGCCGCCUGUACGGACACUCGAAGCCGCCUCCUCCCCCGGCCUCGGCGUUCCGGAGAGCCGCGGCGGCGCUCCUCCUCGCCGCGGCCGUGGCGCUGCCCUGCGCCGUGCUGUACCGAGCCGUCGUGUCGAAUGCGCCUCCGCUGGUGCAGGUCGUGUGGGAUCGCUGGCCCUCGAGGGAGUGGGGCCCGCCACGAGCUCCGGUUGUGGUCCCCGAGCCCGAGGAGGACCGCGACCUCGACCCCAUUUCCGCCGACGAUCUGUGAAUAUCUCAAACUUGAGCAAGUUCUACAAGCGGCUUCUAUGGACAAUAAGACCAUUAUAUUGACGACGCUUAAUGCUGCAUGGUCUUCUCCAGGCUCAGUUAUAGAUCUUUACAUUGAUAGCUUCCGGCAUGGUGUUAGAACUAGUUCACUACUGAAACACCUUGUGAUAAUAGCCUUCGACAGGAAAGCAUAUAGGCGAUGUACUGAGAUCCAUACCUACUGUUAUGCUCUUGUAACCGGUAAUGUGGACUUUUCUCAAGAGAAGAGGUUUCUGACUGCUGGGUAUCUGGAAAUGAUGUGGACAAGGCUGGAUUUCUUGCGCCUAGUUCUUGAAAAAGGUUACAGCUUCAUUUUCUCGGAUGCAGAUAUAAUGUGGUUUCGCAAUCCAUUUCCAUACUUUUACCCGGAUGGAGAUCUUCAGGUUGCAUGUGAUCACUAUGUAGGCAAUGCAACUGACUUGAGAAACAUAGCUAAUGGGGGGUUCAACUAUGUGAAGUCGAACAAUCAAAGCAUAGAGUUUUACAAGUUUUGGUAUUCUUCACGACUGAGAUACCCUGGUUAUCAUGACCAGGAUGUACUUAAUUUUAUUAAGCAUGAUCCUUACAUUAUGGAUAUUGGAUUAACCAUUAAGUUUUUAAGUACUACAUACUUUGGUGGUAUUUGUGAGCCAAGCAAAGAUUUAAAUGAGGUUUGCACAAUGCAUGCUAACUGUUGCAUUGGAUUGCAAAGCAAACUUCAUGAUUUAAGAAUCAUCAUGGAAGAUUGGAGGGAUUAUAUGUCUAUGCCACCAAGCUUAAAAACACCUGGGGCAUUCUCAUGGAGGGUACCACAAAAUUGCAGUCUUUCAUUGUUAAACCAGUGA
rnacentral:rRNA from 1 species